UCUGUAAUAGUUAACAACAACAACAAUAAUUGUAAUAAUGAAAACUUGUCAGAUAAAUUCAUUUAUCUCGUUUUCGUAGGUUGCAAUUAAACAAAAUUUUUCUUUUUUUAACAAUCUUUCCAUCCAUUUCUCUAUUUAAUCAACAUAGUUAUAGAUCAGAAUGAGAAGAUACCAACCGAUGGACAACUACGAGAAUUCCUAUAAUCCUGUGAAUCCAUACGUCUCUCUCUCUCUCUCUCUCUCUCUCUUUCUUUCUAUUAUAUACUAUUUUCGGAUAAAAGUUUGAAAACUGAAUGGAUCUUUGAAGAAAUUUUAAUAAUCUUAUCCAUGGUAAAAAAAAUAAAAAGAUAAUUGAAAAAUGAAAUUGACAUGACGUUAGGCUCCUGAACCCAAAGCUUUUUUAGCACGGUCAACUCUGGAUGUUGAAUCUGGUCUAGUAGUGCGAGGGAGAAAAACGAUCUGCGCAGACGCGUUGGUUGAGAAAGGUCAGGGAGCCUUCUCCGUGGCUUCCUCUAUGUGUUUCCCUUACUACUCUCCCACCCUAUCUUUCCUUCUUCUUCCUUCCUUCUCCUUUUUCUUCUUCUCCUUUUCUUUCUCCUUUUCCCUCUUUCUUUCCCUCUCUCUCUAUCUCUCUCCCCUUCUCUCCUUCUAAGAUGAUAGAUAAUUCAGAAAGGUGGAAGAUACUACCUGCUAGUGUUUUCUUUUUUUUUCUUUUCUUCCUUUUUACCAACUAUUCAACAUCGUUCUCUUUUAUCAUUUCAAAUGAACAUUAUUUUAAGAAUAAGAAAAAAGUUUGGAAAAAUUUAUUCCGACGUUUCUAUUACAGAUAAUUUUACAGCGAGAAAUAAAAACAAAAAAAGAAAGACAUUUUUUAAUAUUAUAGUGAUUAUAAAAAUGGUCUAAGUGAAGAAUCUUCAAAAAUUAAUUUAUUAUGUAAUUCGUUUAAUUAGAUCAUAGCCAUAGAAAAUACGCAAUAAAUUAAUUCAGAGAUAGAUAUUAAUGGAAGAGAAAUAAUAAUAAUAAUAGCGAUAAUAAGCUAUCAAUUACACAUACACGCAGACAUACAUAUACGCUCGACGUCUUUUUACGUAUGAAGAAUGAAGAAGAAAUAUAGGAAUUUCAUGGACAAAGAUAACAUUGAUAAGAUCGAUAAGUAUUGUAUACUUAUGUCAGAUAAAUUGGAUCUUGCGUUCUUACUUUCUUGAUACGAUGGUAUUAAUCUUUUAAGUACACUUAUACAUACAAGUGUAUGCGUCUACAUAGUUAAAAUUAUGUCUGUUAUAAUACUUGAAUUUUUCCAUACUAAUAAUAGCAAUAAUUAUGACCUCUUUAAUCGAUUUGAAAGAUCUUUCUUACGUUUAAAACGUUCAUGUCUCUCUUUGGAAGCAUACGAUCUUUACGUGUGUGUGUAAAUAUCUACCUGUUGGACGACUAAAAGCAAUGGACGACUAAAAAGAAAUUCACGUAGUCAAAAAGCAAGUAUUACGAUACAGAAAUGAAGAAGAAGAAAAAAAAAAUACUAUGAAUUCAUAUUUUUCAAUUGUACUCAAAAUAAUGAUAUUCGUUUUUAUAUCGUUUAUGAAACACGCAAUACACAUAUAUAUAUAUAUAUAUAUAUAUAUAUAUAUAUAUAUAUAUACACGUACAUGAAUCAAGAACAACAACGUAAUAUAAAUCUAUGGAUCAGCUGACAUAUAUCUGUAUAUGUGUAUGUUAAAUUUUAUAAUAGUGCAAGAACGUUUAUUUAGCUUUCUUGAUCAAAGAUAAUGAUGUUUAUAAUCAAAAUGAAUUUUAUUAUUAAUCUUUUGAAUUCCAAGUAUAAUCACCAAGAAAAUGUUCUAAACUUUUUAUGCAAAAUAUACGAAAAGUAUACUAAAAAGACAGUAGGAAGAGGCGUUUAGGCCAAUGAGAUCUACCGAUUCUCUUGAUAAGGUUUCCGAAUACGUAGUAGGAAGAAUUAUUGGAUCUCGCAUUAAGUAUUAAAAAAAAAAAAAAAAUAAAACAAAUGUAUUACAAAUUAUUAUAAAAUAUGUAAAAUGAUAAUAAUGAUGAAAUAUGUUUGCUGUUCAUUUGUACGUAGAUAAAUUUAAAAUGCUAAAUAUACGAAAUAUUCGACCACACCAAUCAAUUGGCCGAAAUUUUCGGAUAAAAUGAAAAUAGAAAAAAAAACAAAAAAUAAUAUAUAUACACAUACAUAUAUUUAUAUGUAUAAAAAUAA